UACAGAGGUCUCAAGCGUUGUUCGGAUUCAUUGGGCGUAAAGGGUGCGUAGGCGGCGCGGUAAGUCGGGUGUGAAAUCCUGGAGCUCAACUCCAGAACUGCCUUUGAUACUGAGAAGCUUGAGUCCGGGAGAGGUGAGUGGAACUGCGAGUGUAGAGGUGAAAUUCGUAGAUAUUCGCAAGAACACCAGUGGCGAAGGCGGGUCUCUGGACAGUUCCUGACGCUGAGGCACGAAGGUCAGGGGAGCAAACGGG
rnacentral:rRNA from 1 species